CCCUCUGUCUCCCCCAUGCUUAGACCUGGGUUGGAAAAAGCCUCCGUCUUCCCUUCCAGAGUUACAGCAAUGACUAUAAGGCCUGCCCUUGCCACUCCUGGGCACCAAACUCUCCCUUCUUUUUGCUCUCCAGCCUCCCUUGCUGCCCACCUCUAGUUCCUACUGAGCCUCUUCCCUCCUGGAUGGUAUAAAACAGUGCCACAUGGAGUCUUAGGUCCAGCAUCACAUGUAUUGAGCCAAUAUUCACUAAACGAAUACUUCUGAGCAUC
rnacentral:lncRNA from 1 species